UAAUACGUAGGGUGCAAGCGUUAAUCGGAAUUACUGGGCGUAAAGCGCGCGCAGGCGGUGAAUGAAGUCGAAAGUGAAAGCCCCGGGCUCAACUCGGGAACAGCUUUCGAAACCAGUUCACUUGAAGGUGGAAGAGGGAAGUGGAAUUCCGAGUGUAGUGGUGGAAUGCGCAGAUAUUCGGAGGAACACCAGAGGCGAAGGCGACUUCCUGGUCCAAUCUUGACGCUGAGGCGCGAAAGCUAGGGGAGCAAACAGGAUUAGAUAUCCUGGUAGUCCUAGCUGUAAACGAUGGAUACUAGGUGUUGGAGGUUUUAACCCCUCCGGUGCCGCAGCUAACGCAUUAAGUAUCCCGCCUGGGGAGUACGGCCGCAAGGCUAAAACUCAAAGGAAUUGACGGGGCCCCGCACGAGCAGCGGAGCGUGGGGUUUAAUUCGAUGAUACGCGAAGAACCUUACCAAGGCUUGACAUGCACAUGACCGCGGCGGAAACGUCGCUUUCCCGAAA
rnacentral:rRNA from 1 species